GAAGGUAUAGUUCAAGCAGCAGAGCACAUGCUUAGCAUGCACAAAGUCCUGGGUUCAGUCCCCAGUACCUCCU
rfam:Camelus ferus unplaced genomic scaffold scaffold804, whole genome shotgun sequence.